UUCGUGGAGUUUUCUUGUAGUCGCGUUUCGCAUCUGUGUAUAAGUGUUGCGUUCGUGUGUGUGUGUGUGUUUUAGUCAAUCGAAGUGUAUUAGUGUGAGUGAAUUUCAAUUCAGCUCGUGCACUGUGGGAAAAAGCAACGAAAAAGCUUCAAAAGUUAUAAUCAAAUGUGUAUGGCAAUUGCGUUGGUUAGACCUGUUCCCACAUCUAUGGAGUUUCAUCUAGACAGUGCAGAAUACUGCCAGGCACAGCACAAAUAAAAAGUAAUUAAAAUCUAACCCAAGGGGCAUCGUGAUUGCAAGCCUGAUUGAACGCUUUUCAGCGGUCAGAACAGAAGUCAACCGAUCCAACAGAUCAGACGUGGACAGAGAAUCCAAACUGAUAUAUAUAAAUAUAACU
rnacentral:sRNA from 1 species